rnacentral:lncRNA from 1 species
GGAAAAGUAAAAUCAACUAAAAGUAAAAUUCGAUGCAUAGUGCGUCGUUUAGACUUGCUACUCUGAAGCUCUCCAGGCACUGGUGGUCAUGACUGACCAAUUGGUGAGGCAUUCCCCUCGGUUCAUAGCUUGAAUGGAAAGGCCUUCCUCCCCUUCCUCCUCGAAGAUAACACAACAAUCCAUAUCAUCCUCCAGAAACAGGUUCUUCAUUGCUUCCAAUGCCUCGUCUUCCUCUGAUCUAUAUAUAAUGUCAGCUGGCUAAAAGGUCUACUCCAGCUGAGGUAUAUGGUGUUCCAAUAGAUAGUAGGGACUGGGCCAUGGUGGUG